GAAAGGUAUGAAGGGAGACAUUAGCACUCCCCUUGAUAAGGAUGGAAGAGGUCCUAGUGGCCUUUUACAACAUAUAUGAUUAAGGCAUUGUCACUUUUUUAUAUCAUAUUAUAUCAUAUCAUAUU